GGAGAUUUUUUUCUCUUUUCCUUUCCUUUCUUUUCUUCUUCUCCGGUGUGUCUCUCGGCUCUCACCCCUCUCACCUUCUCUCUUCGAUUUCAUCGAUUUCAUCCACCACGAGUGAGACUUUUGAAAAAUCCCAAGUACUAAAGUUGUUCUACGCGACGAGAGCUUCCUAUCCAUCGAAGAAAAUUCACGAUCGGAGCACUUCGAAGUUUCCUCAAUGUUCGGGCUUGCUUCUAACCCUCGAGGAAGUUCGAGUCGUCACGUGGAUCGAGGAAGCGACGCGUAGUGUGGCAGAGUGUUUACUUUAGUUUGUAAAUUUGUAGGUAAGCACAGCUCUGAGAGGUUUAUCCUUUUGGUUUGUAAACCUAUGUAAGACUUUGGUUUGUUAUCAAUAAAAGUUAACUUUUGCUU